CUUUGAGUUAAAGACUGCUUCCCUAUAUAAAGAAAGAAUUGGGGGUGGGAGGAGGAAAUUUAACUUUUGAGGUUAAUAAAUAUGGCAAAGUAGGUCAUGUACUGUACAUGUACUGUAUUACCGGCUUGAUCCGGUGGGUGAUCUGGGGGCUGUGCUACUGGCUCCAAGAGACACCAUCAUGUAUCUCAUCAGGCUCAUCCACUGAACCCAUCUUGGUGGUUUCAAGCUCCUACUUUAUAGCUUCUCCCCACCUGAGCUCUAGCUCAGUUCUCAAACUAUGAAUAUUUAUACUCCAACCACCAGCCCAUGGAGAAACACUGAUCUGCCCAAUAACUACCAGCCCUUGCUCCUGGACGGUUUUGGACACUUCAGAUAAAUGGCCUUGCUCUCUCUUCUUACGUGUGCACAUGAACAGAUACAAACAGAAAUCCAUUAACUUCUCAACUGCCUCCCUCUCUGUCUCUAAACAAAUAAAACACUGCAGUGCAACAGGCACAUGUGUUAUGUUACCAGAAGUCUUGGAUUGUUGUUAGUUCUUUUGUUUUUCUGGGGUAGGAGUGGGGUAGGGGAGAUAUGUAACAAGAGAGAAGGAGCAGAGUAUGCUGCCAGAAAGGUGCAACACUUGUCAAAGCAGGACACUGGGAAGAAGGGGCAACAUUCUUUAGAAUGUAGCUUCUAGUGUUCAACACCUAGGAACUGGAGGGGAAAAAACUGCCAUGUCUGCAAGUUGUAAAAAAGAACCUAUUUGGGAAUAUAUUCAAGAAAUUCCUGUGCCUCUGGGUAAAGUAACUCAUGGCAACUGUGAAUGGUGCAACAGAGAUGCAAGGCCUGGUUGCCAGAAUGAAACAACAUUAUGAAAAUUGCUUCUCAGAAGACAGUGACUUUGAAGAUGAAGUGCCUGAACAAUCUGGAUCAGCUGGGUCCCUGCUUAGACAUAAGGAGUUGUGAAUGUCCAUCUGCAGUGUCCGCAACGUCAGAGUCAUCUGCUGAUACCACCAGCAGUACUGCAACUAAACAUACUUCAGACAGUAAAUUAACUGCAUCAAAACAAGCUUUCUUCAUCAUAAUCCAGUUAAGAAAGGCAUGAAUAGCAAUCAGGACCAGCAAAUUCCAGGAAAACUCCAUAAAUGAAAAGAUUGCACAGUUCUCCCUUUCUUGUUGUUCAGAACAAAUAUUUCAUUGCCGUGCCAUUUUCAUCAAUCGUUAUAGAUAUGGAACACUCCAUCUAUAGAGCAGACAUUGCUGAAAGGUUGUUGUGAGAAGGAAAUUGAAGUGUGCAAAACACAUUGAUGGGGAAAUUCGUUAAUCUAAGUCCUGAUGUGUGGAACAGCAUUCACAGUGCUCCAAUAAUAUGUGCUUGUGUGAUAACAGAGAUGAGGUUGUCUCUUACAGAAACAAUUGAUACAACAGGAAAUGCCCAUGCAGCAGAAUACUUAAAAGAACUGGCAGUAAAAGCUAUAUUAAAUAUGAACAAAAAUUCAAGUGUCAGGUAUUUGUCACAGGCAAUGAGGCAAAUGUAGCAAAUAUGAGAAUAAAUCUAGAAGAUAGUGAUGGGAACCUGAAACUUAUAACGUAUGGGUGUGCAGUGCUCAUUUGAUGCAUCUUUUAGCUAAAGAGUUGAGUACAACUGCAGGAAUAAAGGAAAAAGUAGUUAAAGUUGCAAAAUGCUUCCAUAACAACCACUUUCCUCCAGCUUCACUGAAGAGAAUAGAAGCAUUUAAACUAAUUCUCCCUCAAGAUGUAUGGUGGAAGUCAGUGGUUGACUGUUUUGAGCUGUUUAUUUAGAACUAGCCUAUUCUGAAGAAAAUUUGUGAAGAAAAUUGAGACAAAAUAAAUGGAACUCUCACAGCCAGAGUAUUCAACAUCGGACUAAAAGGAAAUGUAGAAGAUAUGAUAAAUAUACUGAAACCUAUUUUCAUAGCCUUGGACAAACUACAGAAAGAUUGCUGCUGAAUUGCUAAUGCUGUUAAAAUUGGAAAGAACUUUGAGAUAUUGAAAAAAGAAAUACCCAGCACCAAAAUUAAAUUUUAGGCAGUAAAUAAUUGAAGGAAUCAAGCACUUACUCCACCUCAUUUUCUUGCCAGUAUUCUCAGCCAAAAGUACCAGGUAGAUGCCAAGCUGCUGAAGAAGAUGCUGCUGCUAUGACAUGAGCAUUGAAUAAUCACCCAUCAAUCUUGCCAACUGUAAUACAUUUCAGGGCUGGAAGUGAACCAUUCAAGCAGUACACGUUUGAUGAUGUUUUAAAGAAAAUCACACAACUGAACUGGUGGAAGGUACUAACUAAGCACCUGGAACCAGAGUUUGCUGAAGUGCUAAACCAGCUUUUGACACCGGUAGCCUCUUUUGCAGGCACAGAGAGAAUAUGUUCUUCAUUUGGACUGAUUCAUUCAAAGUUGAAAUUGAUUGGGAGUUGAAAAAGCAGAAGAAAAAAUGGUCUUUCUCUUCCAGUCUAGGAAUAAAAAUGAGGAGGGAGGGCUUAAAAUUUUCUAGUUUUAAAAAAAAGUUUGAAGGACAGUCUAAGUAAUUUAGCAAAUUGUCUCAUUUUUAAGAGACUUAGGCUAUGUCUACACUACAAAGAUAAGUCGACCUAUGUUAGGUUGACGUACAACUACCUCAUUAAUUACUGAGAUGGCUGAUGUCCACACUACCCUUCUUGGAUCGGUGGUGCGUGUCUUCACAGGAGCAGUUCCACCGAUGUAAGAGGGGCAUUGUGGGGAUCUGAGAGCCUGGUCUCUCAUCUCCACCUGCAGCUCCGUGCCGGGAGCCUGGCUACCCCACAGGCUCCAGACAGGCUGCCGCCUCCCCGUUCCUCACCAGGAAUGGGAGGGAAGCUGCUGGGGACUUCUCACCUCCCCAUUCUCUGCUGGGAGCAGGGGGAAAGCCACCUGGGGCUCCGCAGUGAAAUUGACAAGAAUGACAGCUAACAGCUGAUCUAAGGAAUGCAGACACUGCAUCACCUUAACUACACCAACUUAACUAUAUCUACAUAAGCCUCUAGUUGAGGUAGUUUUAUUAUGUCAGCAUAGCAGGGGAGUUACAUUGGUGGGAGGAGCAUUUUGGUGUGUACACAUCCACUGUUUUGUCAACAAAAGCUGACUUUUCUCAACAAAACUGUGUAGUGUAGACAAGGCCUAAGGCGAGAAGUAAUUUAAGCUCCAGUCACUUAUACUUCGGUAUAUUUGAAAACUUUCCCAGGCUGACUUGAAAUACUCAGCUUAAUUCACUGGCUACAAUUAAUCCCUCUAUUCCUUUAAUACCUCAUUUGGUUGUAAUAAGAGAUAAGAGAAGUUUAUGUAUUCAAAACAUUUAAAGUUUCAUUUAUUUAAAUUUUGUAUGCUGUUUGUUUAAUUAAACCAGUUAGCAUCCUAAUGCAGCUUGACACAAAUCAUGAGCAAAAAGUUAAGCAUCUAGUAAAUAAGCAAUGUAUCAUUUACUAUUUUCUAACAUACUAAAAAUGUAUAAUAAGAAUCUGAAAAUAUUUGUUUUGCUUAAAUAAACAUAUAUAGUUAUAGUGUAUACUCCUAGGUAGCAAAAAGACAUACUGAACAUAGUGUAAAGGCUCUAUUUAGUUGUAAAUCAACAUGUUUUAAUAGUUAUAUCAACCAAUGAGAAUGCACCUUUCUUUAGAAAAUAACAGAAGUACAAACGAAAAAGUUGAUUAAAGUUGAUAAUUUAAAUUGA